rnacentral:rRNA from 1 species
UACGUAGGGUGCGAGCGUUAAUCGGAAUUACUGGGCGUAAAGCGUGCGCAGGCGGUUUUGUAAGUCAGCUGUGAAAUCCCCGGGCUCAACCUGGGAAUGGCAUUUGGGACUGCAAGGCUCGAGUGCGGCAGAGGAGACUGGAAUUCCUGGUGUAGCAGUGAAAUGCGUAGAUAUCAGGAGGAAUACCGAUGGCGAAGGCAGGUCUCUGGGCUGACACUGACGCUCAUGCACGAAAGCGUGGGGAGCAAACAGG